rnacentral:tRNA from 1 species
GGAGGGGUGGCCGAGCGGCUUAAGGCAGCGGUCUUGAAAACCGCCGAUGGGAAACCAUCCGAGAGUUCGAAUCUCUCUCCUCCUCCGCCA